rnacentral:rRNA from 1 species
UACGGGGGGGCGAAGCGUUGUUCGGAAUUACUGGCGUAAAGGGGCUCGUAGGCGGCCAACUAAGUCAGACGUGAAAUCCCGUCGGCUUAACCGGGGAACUGCAUCUGAUACUUGGAUGGCUUGAGAUUGGGAGAGGGAUGCGGAAUUCCAGGUGUAGCGGUGAAAUGCGUAGAUAUCUGGAGGAACACCGGUGGCGAAGGCGGCAUCCUGGACCAACACUGACGCUGAGGAGCGAAAGCCAGGGGAGCAAACGGG